AUGGUUGUUACCGCUCACUAUAAUGAUGAUACUUGGAAUCUAAAGAGCUUUCUUAUGAGGUUUGCUUAUGUGCCAUGUCCACAUUCAGCUGAGGUUAUAUGUGAAGCCUUGUAUAAGUGUCUUGUUGAUUGGCACCUUGAGCGGAAGAUCUCCACUGUCACUUUGGACAACUGCACAUCAAAUGAUAAGGCUAUGGUUAUAUUGCCAGAUAAGUUGGAUACAAGCUCUCUCAUGUUGGAUGGUCAAUUAAUGCAUAUGCGUUGUGCAGCUCACAUAUUUAAAUUAAUUGUGAAAGAUGGAAUGAGUGUCUUAGAGCAAGGUAUAGAGAGGUUAUGUGAUAGUGUUGCAUUUUGGUCAGCCACACCUAAAACGCACAAGAAGUUUGAAAAGAUGGCAAAAACUUUGAACAUAGAGUAUUAA
rnacentral:rRNA from 1 species